GACGAACGCUGGCGGCGUGCUUAACACAUGCAAGUCGAACGGAAAGGCCCUGCUUUUGUGGGGUGCUCGAGUGGCGAACGGGUGAGUAACACGUGAGUAACCUGCCCUUGACUUUGGUAUAACUUCAGGAAACUGGGGCUAAUACCGGAUAGGAGCUCCUGCUGCAUGGUGGGGGUUGGAAAGUUUCGGCGGUUGGGGAUGGACUCACGGCUUAUCAGCUUGUUGGUGGGGUAGUGGCUUACCAAGGCUUUGACGGGUAGCCGGCCUGAGAGGGUGACCGGCCACAUUGGGACUGAGAUACGGCCCAGACUCCUACGGGAGGCAGCAGUGGGGAAUAUUGCACAAUGGGCGGAAGCCUGAUGCAGCAACGCCGCGUGCGGGAUGACGGCCUUCGGGUUGUAAACCGCUUUCGCCUGUGACGAAGCGUGAGUGACGGUAAUGGGUAAAGAAGCACCGGCUAACUACGUG
rnacentral:rRNA from 1 species